AGGCCUACGGGAGGCAGCAGUGGGGAAUAUUGCACAAUGGGGGAAACCCUGAUGCAGCGACGCCGCGUGAGUGAAGAAGUAUCUCGGUACGUAAAGCUCUAUCAGCAGGGAAGAAAAAAAGUCUUUGGCUUUGGACGGUACCUGACUAAGAAGCCCCGGCUAACUACGUGCCAGCAGCCGCGGUAAUACGUAGGGGGCAAGCGUUAUCCGGAUUUACUAGGUGUAAAGGGAGCGUAGACGGCGAUGCAAGUCUGAAGUGAAAGGCGGGGGCCCAACCCCUGGACUGCUUUGGAAACUGUAUGGCU
rnacentral:rRNA from 1 species